rnacentral:rRNA from 1 species
UCCGGUUUUNCAGUGGGUACGGGCUAGCUAGAGUGCAGUAGGGGAGACUGGAAUUCCUGGUGUAGCGGUGGAAUGCACAGAUAUCAGGAGGANCACCGAUGGCGAAGGCAGGUCUCUGGGCUGUAACUGACGCUGAGAAGCGAAAGCAUGGGGAGCGAACAGGAUUAGAUACCCUGGUAGUCCAUGCCGUAAACGUUGGGCACUAGGUGUGGGGGNCAUUCCACGUUUUCCGCGCCGUAGCUAACGCAUUAAGUGCCCCGCCUGGGGAGUACGGCCGCGAGGCUAAAACUCAAAGGAAUUGACGGGGGCCCGCACAAGCGGCGGAGCAUGCGGAUUAAUUCGAUGCAACGCGAAGAACCUUACCAAGGCUUGACAUGCAUUAGAUCGCGUCAGAGAUGGCGUUUCCCUUCGGGGCUGGUGUACAGGUGGUGCAUGGUUGUCGUCAGCUCGUGUCGUGAGAUGUUGGGUUAAGUCCCGCAACGAGCGCAACCCUCGUUCUAUGUUGCCAGCGGUUCGGCCGGGGACUCAUAGGAGACUGCCGGGGUCAACUCGGAGGAAGGUGGGGAUGACGUCAAAUCAUCAUGCCCCUUAUGUCUUGGGCUUCACGCAUGCUACAAUGGCCGGUACAGAGGGUUGCGAUACUGUGAGGUGGAGCUAAUCCCUUAAAGCCGGUCUCAGUUCGGAUUGGGGUCUGCAACUCGACCCCAUGAAGUCGGAGUCGCUAGUAAUCGCAGAUCAGCAACGCUGCGGUGAAUACGUUCCCGGGCCUUGUACACACCGCCCGUCAAGUCACGAAAGUUGGUAACACCCGAAGCCGGUGGCCUAACCCUUGUGGGGGGAGCCG